AAGGCAUAUGGUAAGAGUUGCCUUCUCUAUUUCAUCCUAUUUCUAAAAGGCUUAUGUGGAGUUCAAGGUAGGGAUGAAAGGAGAUAGCAUACUUACUUUGCAUAUAUUGCGAAGUCAAAGCUCGGAUCCUUGAAGAGAAGUGUCAUACUCCCAGAUCAAGAUGUGCAAGUGUGAUAUAUGGUGGACUAGGUUGCUCCUUUAUUUGAUAGACUCUCUAUGUAUUGAGACAUGGCUAGCUUUUUUUUUUUAUAUAUAUAUGAGCUUUCAUGUGCUCAAUUUUCUUUUUCUGUGGACUUGCAUAUGUCCAUCUUUUUAUUUCAUUUUGCCUAGCCUUUUGAUGUCUCAUUUACCAAAUAAUGCUUAUAGAGAUGUUCUAACAUUUAGAGUAUGGAGCAACCUAUUUAGUGGAUGCGAAAUACAUGUGGUUGCGUACUUCCAGUGUAGAAGCAGCAUAUAUAUAUGUGGUGUGUACGUGAUCUUGAUCUUAGGAGCAUGAAAAGUCUCUUAACAAGGGUCAACAAGACUUGACGACACUCAACACAAAGCAAAUAGCUUAUGUGGAAAGAUUGCAAUUAUGUAAAGUAGAUAUGGCUGUGGUAGGAAUUCAUCACCAUUGAGGAACAAUUAAGGUUUUGAUCAUUUUAAGAAUAAAUCUCUGAUAAUCAUGCAUGCUUAGAAAAAUAUUAUAGUAGCUCUUGUCUUACUAUCUCAUGUCCCACAACAACUUAGACUUAGUUCUAGCACUUGCAACCCACAAAAUUUUUAGGUUCAUGGCAGUUUAAGUGAGCUAAGUGAUCCAUACUUAGAGAAAUACUAAGUUGUAUACUAGGUACUAGAGAAACAUUAACAAGCAACUAGUCAUCAUUUCCAUGAGGGAUAUAAACAUACAUGAAGCAUAUAUGCUAAAGGGAAAUGCUAAUAAAUAUUUAUUUAUUUUUUUUAAGUAAGAAUGAUAAAAUGCAUGAAAAUAAAUAGGAUAGAAUACUUACCUUAGUGGGGGAGAGGAUCUCCCCCAAGCUAGAUCUUCGCUCACUGUGGUGGCGGGAAAUUCUGGUACC
rnacentral:lncRNA from 1 species